rnacentral:misc_RNA from 1 species
GCCAGAAAUCACGGACAUUUCGAGCCCGCUAACAAUUAUCAGCGGUAUAUCGUAUUACACUCCAGAACAAUAGAAUAUCAAGAGAAUUCAAUAUGGCGGCGAUCAUGGCUCGAUCUGCAAAGAAGCGUGUUUCGUACCACGACUUACACAAUUUGAGCACCGCGGAUCCUCUAUUUGAUGAAAAUAAAAAGAAAAGAAGAACAGCACGUAAAUCUUUGGGAUUGUUCGAGGCAGAGCGAAUUAUUACAAGCCGGGAGGACUCAGAGGGAACGAAAUACCUUAUUAAGUGGAAAGGCUUCAGCGCAUUUCAGAAUACUUGGGAGCCUGAAGAACACCUUUCCCAACUUUUGUUGAGGUAAGUUAUAUUCACCAUUAACCGCAUUAGCAAUAUAUUGAUCAAUUUGGUCAACUUGCUGUCUGAUUGUUAACACAAGGGUACUCUAACUUUCAACAGACUUCCCUGAUACCAUACACAUGGAAAGAAUAUGAAAGAAAGCACAUAAGAAAACAGUAAUGAAUCACUGUUUUGGUUAUACAAGACUGUUCACUCUGGCCGCUAUCAACUUUGCAUUGGUACUUUGAGUCUCCAAAACCACAUGUGGACACUGUCCAGGAGUGUGUGGACAGACUGAGAGUCUCCUUAUCGGAUGCUCUCAGGCACAAAGGUCCAACACAGGCUGUAUCACUGGAAUUUCGCCAUGAUGUCUUCAAAUAUCUAUUUAGUGGAAAGGGAAGACAUGCUGAGGAAAAGAACUGGCAAUUAUACGAAGAAAACGAUUUUAGUAGAUGUAAGCUUCCUACCAACUGGAGCUGUAUAUUAGAUAAACAUGGAGAUGGAGUUAGGAUUAGGUUUCCAGUUAAAAUGAGGAGAUUCCUUAGCCUAUCUCCAAAAACCUAUGAAAGGGUGGCUGAGGUUGUUGUUGAAGCCCCGAGGGCCUAUACUGAAAAGAUUUCAGUCAAGUUUGUUAAAGUCUCAUCAUCAUGUAAUUAGUCAAAUUUAUAUAACAUUUUGAUAUACAGUAACCAGUAAAUGAGUACAAGGAGGACUAAAUUAGUUAACCUAUUAUUCUCAGUGCUUCAUUGUUUUUGCAUGGUGAAAUGAAUUUUAACAGACUUACUGAAUAAUGUUAUUUCCUAAGUAAAUUUACAGAUUAUAUUUAUUGUACUUGAGAAUUUUCGACAAGAGCCACUAGGUCUUUUUUUUUAAAUUUAGUUAUAUUUUUCACUUUCAUUCCUUUUCUUUUGAUGACUUCUUUGAGUUGUGCAAUUGUCAUCUUGUUAUAAUCUUGGGUGGCACAAGUGGGGCUUUCAUCAGAUAUUUCAUCAUCCUCGACCCGUUCCAUGUACAUGGAUGUGCUUGCCGAAGAAGCCCGUUGUUCUUUCCUUUUUCGAUGGAUUUCAUCCUCCCAGUAAUCUAGCUUCCUUUUAGUGUAGGUGGCUUUCUUACGUUCAUGGUGCUUUAGUUCCCACUGCCUACUUUCUGUGCAAAGUAUGUCUCUGGCAGCAUCCCACUUAUUUGACUUGUGAAAGUGGAUUCUCUUAGCAUCAUCGUUAUUUUUUUCUACUCCUUGCCCGGUAAAUUGUUUGAGACAACCAUGCUUUUGCACAAAGAAAGGAAGGUGGUAGGGAAUAAGGUGCAUAUAGGGGGUUACUCUGGGUCUGGUAUACCCUUGGCGAACACCUCGUAGAGAACAGAAAAGUUCAAUCCAAGCCUUUGCAUCAAGAAAUAUGUCAUGAGCAGAAGUGUUGGUGAGGUUAAAAUCAGAAAUCUUGUCAUACAAGUGGCCAAAAUCAACCCACA